ACGGGAGGCAGCAGUGGGGAAUAUUGGGCAAUGGGCGAAAGCCUGACCCAGCAACGCCGCGUGAGGGAAGAAGGGUUUCGGCUCGUAAACCUCUGUCCUAUGGGACGAAGGAAGUGACGGUACCAUAGGAGGAAGCCCCGGCUAACUACGUGCCAGCAGCCGCGGUAAUACGUAGGGGGCGAGCGUUGUCCGGAAUGAUUGGGCGUAAAGGGCGCGUAGGCGGCCCGUUAAGUCUGGAGUGAAAGUCCUGCUUUUAAGGUGGGAAUUGCUUUUAAUACUGAUGGGCUUGAGUGCAGAAGAGGUAAGUGGAAUUCCCAGUGUAGCGGUGAAAUGCGUAGAGAUUGGGAGGAACACCAGUGGCGAAGGCGACUUACUGGGCUGUAACUGACGCUGAGGCGCGAAAGCGUGGGGAGCAAACAGGAUUAGAUACCCUGGUA
rnacentral:rRNA from 1 species